UACGUAGGGGGCAAGCGUUAUCCGGAUUUACUGGGUGUAAAGGGAGCGUAGACGGCAGUGCAAGUCUGAAGUGAAAGGCGGGGGCCCAACCCCCGGACUGCUUUGGAAACUGUGCUGCUGGAGUGCAGGAGAGGCAAGUGGAAUUCCUAGUGUAGCGGUGAAAUGCGUAGAUAUUAGGAGGAACACCAGUGGCGAAGGCGGCUUACUGGACUGUAACUGACGUUGAGGCUCGAAAGCGUGGGGAGCAAACAGG
rnacentral:rRNA from 1 species